UUGUUGCUCCCUUGCACUUGUCUGUUGCUUGUGGACACAACAAGGUUGCAAACAGCAAUUCAAAGAAUGAAAAGGCGUGACUUCUGGAGUCUCAGAAGCAUCACGUGCGAUGUUCUUUGGACAAGACUCCCGCUUUCCACGGUGGCGAUGGACUCUGUAGACAUCACCUUUCUUGAAGCGGGUAGAGAAAAAACACGGGCUGCCGGGUAUUGUCUGAAUCAGGUGAAGCGCUUCCUAUUGGACACCGCUGGCUGCCACAAAC